rnacentral:rRNA from 1 species
UACGUAGGGUGCAAGCGUUGUCCGGAAUUAUUGGGCGUAAAGAGCUCGUAGGCGGUCUGUCACGUCGGCUGUGAAAACCCGGGGCUCAACCCCGGGCCUGCAGUCGAUACGGGCAGGCUAGAGCGUGGUAGGGGAGAUCGGAAUUCCUGGUGUAGCGGUGAAAUGCGCAGAUAUCAGGAGGAACACCGGUGGCGAAGGCGGAUCUCUGGGCCAUUACUGACGCUGAGGAGCGAAAGCGUGGGGGAGCGAACAGG